rnacentral:rRNA from 1 species
GAUGAACGCUGGCGGCGUGCCUAAUACAUGCAAGUCGAGCGAACAGACGAGGAGCUUGCUCCUCUGACGUUAGCGGCGGACGGGUGAGUAACACGUGGAUAACCUACCUAUAAGACUGGGAUAACUUCGGGAAACCGGAGCUAAUACCGGAUAAUAUAUUGAACCGCAUGGUUCAAUAGUGAAAGACGGUUUUGCUGUCACUUAUAGAUGGAUCCGCGCCGCAUUAGCUAGUUGGUAAGGUAACGGCUUACCAAGGCAACGAUGCGUAGCCGACCUGUGAGGGUGAUCGGCCACACUGGAACUGGGACACGGUCCAGGCUCCUACGGGAGGCAGCAGUAGGGAAUCUUCCGCAAUGGGCGAAAGCCUGACGGAGCAACGCCGCGUGAGUGAUGAAGGUCUUCGGAUCGUAAAACUCUGUUAUUAGGGAAGAACAAAUGUGUAAGUAACUAUGCACGUCUUGACGGUACCUAAUCAGAAAGCCACGGCUAACUACGUG